UACGAACUGUGCGAACGUUAUUCGGAAUCACUGGGCUUACAGGGUGCGUAGGCGGCUUGUCAAGUAGGGUGUGAAAGCCCCCGGCUCAACCGGGGAAUUGCGCCCUAAACUGGCGAGCUGGAGUGAGAUAGGGGUGUGUGGAACUUCCGGUGGAGCGGUGAAAUGUGUUGAUAUCGGAAGGAACGCCGGUGGCGAAAGCGACACACUGGAUCUUGUCUGACGCUGAGGCACGAAAGCCAGGGGAGCGAACGGG
rnacentral:rRNA from 1 species